AUUGAACGCUGGCGGCGUGCCUAAUACAUGCAAGUCGAGCGGACGAAGGGGGCUCGUGCUUCUAUUCAGUUACGGACGGGCGGGUAAGUCCCACGUAGCUACCCUGCCUAUGAGGAUGACGUCAGUAAAGGGGCGCGAAUAUCGUACAGGAUCUUAUUUAGAAAGGGGGGGAUCAACGGUGAUCGCGGGACUUGAUGUGACUAGGUCGGAUUAGCUAGUUGGUGUGGUAAGGGCCUACCAAGGCGACGAUCCGUAACUGGUCUGAGAGGAUGAUCAGUCACACUGGAACUGAGACACGGUCCAGACUCCUACGGGAGGCAGCAGUGGGGAAUAUUGGACAAUGGGCGAAAGCCUGAUCCAGCCAUGCCGCGUGUGUGAAGAAGGUCUUCGGAUUGUAAAGCACUUUAAGUUGGGAGGAAGGGCAGUAAGUUAAUCCCUUGCUGUUUUGACGUUACCAACAGAAUAAGCACCGGCUAACUUCGUG
rnacentral:rRNA from 1 species